GGCUUACGAGGGGGUCUUCUCUCGGUCUCUAGAUUUUGUAAUCUGUGGGGACUGUUUGCAGGCAGCUGCGGGGUCUCAGGAAGAGGGAAAAGCUGAGGGCAGUUGGCAUUCCAUCUCCAGGAAAUUGGGUCUGUCCUCUUCGGGGAGUGGGAACUGAACGGUGUGGGGGUGGGGUGCUGUUGCAGCGGUGGGAAGGAUGAGAGGUGGAUGCGGGAAGUGUGUACCCUAAACUCAUGUAAGGUCAGCCAGAGCCAGGAUGAGCCUCCGCCCUAUAUCCCUCAUUUUACAGAUCCCAAGAGAGUGGAAGAGUCAUGCCCAAGGUCACUCAGCUGGGUGGUGGAAAUGCCCAGAGGCAGCCUCCUCAAGUCCAGCCCGGCCCUGCCCACUGUGUCUGAUGUGUCCUGUAGGAACCUCCCUGCCUGACUCGCCCCGCAUCUCGUCGUUCUCCAGAGGGAGCGCUAGCCGGACAUCGUGACGCUCCAGCGAAUGAGCCCAACGUGGUCCCUCCAAGCCCUGCCGCCCAGCCCAGGACUCUCUCAGGAAACACCACGGUCUUGCUUAUUCUGUCUUGCAAGGUCCUUCCCAGUGUCUAACUGAGACCUGUUCUGCUGAAGUACCAGUUCUCUGACCCUGGGCUUGACAUGGCUAAUUUGAGAGGUGCUGAGGCUCCUAGGUCUCCCCCACCCCAGGAAGGAAGGGGCUGACCUCGAUUCCACACCCACUUGCUCACGCGAGCCCUCUCGCAGCCGUCUUCUCUGUCAGUCUGCUGCCAGGCCUGGAGUGGUUCUGUCCCCCACUUGGCAAAGCUGCAGUCAGGGCCCCACGAAGGAUGUGUGGGUCACCCCGCGUCACGGGGCUGACCGAAAAGAAGGACGUAUUGCACCCAGCUGGCAUGGGUUCCCUCUGAGAAGCCCUCCUGGAUUGAUCGAAGUGGCAAGACCCCAGCUCCAGCCUGGGCUGCCCGUUACACCCGGAGCCACCCGGGAGAGGACUUCGUCCCACCCUUGCUCCCGUGGCCACCGCUGUCCACCCUGGUCCAUCCCAGUCCCUGUGGCGUCCGAGCUGAGAGUCCUCUGAGAUGGCGGUCCCGUCUCAGAUCUAAUAAAGACUCCUGAAUGUUGAACCA